rnacentral:rRNA from 1 species
GAUGAACGCUGGCGGCGUGCCUAAUACAUGCAAGUCGAGCGAACAGACGAGGAGCUUGCUCCUCUGACGUUAGCGGCGGACGGGUGAGUAACACGUGGAUAACCUACCUAUAAGACUGGGAUAACUUCGGGAAACCGGAGCUAAUACCGGAUAAUAUAUUGAACCGCAUGGUUCAAUAGUGAAAGACGGUUUUGCUGUCACUUAUAGAUGGAUCCGCGCCGCAUUAGCUAGUUGGUAAGGUAACGGCUUACCAAGGCGACGAUGCGUAGCCGACCUGAGAGGGUGAUCGGCCACACUGGAACUGAGACACGGUCCAGACUCCUACGGGAGGCAGCAGUAGGGAAUCUUCCGCAAUGGGCGCAAGCCUGACGGAGCCACGCCGCGUGAGUGAUGAAGGUCUUCGGAUCGUAAACCUCUGUUAUUAGGGAAGAACAAAUGUGUAAGUAACUAUGCACGUCUUGACGGUACCUAAUCAGAAAGCCACGGCUAACUACGUG